AUUCCCAGAAGUCAGAACGGUUACUUUGUGUUAUGUGUAGUCUCUUUGAGGAUGACAUCAUUGUUAUCAACAAACGUGGAAGUAGUUCUAUCAAUGUUGAUAAGUUCGAAGAUAAAUAUUUUGAAGUCUGUCACUCUAAGGCACCCUUUCAUUUGAUAGAAAUACUUGGAAUAGGACUACAGCUUAGGUUAUAAUAAUUGCCACUUCGGUCUACGCAUAACAUCGGAUGUUUGGGACUAUGCUCCAAUUUCUAGAUUAAUCUGAAUUCUGGAUCCAGCAGCCAUGAUGCCUAGGAGUUCAAACAUCGUGAGAUGCUACAACAGACGACGUCGAGGUCGGCUGUUUGUUACAAGAUUCUCCUUACCGCUCUGAUUACAGUUCCUUUACUUGACAAGAUUCGGAUUCGUCUCUACCAUUUUAAUGACACAGAUUUACCAUGCUGGUGCCGGGUCCAGCACGUGCGUUGCAGGGAGAGGAGCUUUAACAGUGGCUAGGACUUGCGACCCAGUUGUAGGUAUAAGGCCCCUAUCUAAAGCACAUUAAAUGCUUACCUCCACCGUCCAAGCAUCUCUCUCCGCCCAAACAAAUUUGAAGCGAACCUACAAGGGCUGCUUUCGAAGUAUGUUCUAAGAAUUAAUUGGGCUAUGAAUAAUCACAGUGAAGUCAACAAAUAUAGAUGAAAAUUAGGAUACACUCAUGUAUACCAGAUAGAAUUAAAACAAUGAGUAUAAAUAUUUUUUUAUUAGAGAAAAAAACUUCUUAUUGACUAGAUUAUUUAACAAUAGCAGCGGCUGUGUUUAUUAUAAAUUCAAAUCCUUACUUUGUAUCACAGUGACACUUAUAAUAGCUGGAAACAUAAUCUGAGAAAUAAACGAGCCUACAAGAUGAAAUAAGUAGCGGACUUACAGCACCAGACGAGACCACAAAACUUAGCCUUUAUCUCAAUAGGUAAAUGUGAAAGGAAAUAUCGAGUUGUUA